GUGCCAGCAGCCGCGGUAAGACGAACUGUCCAAACGUUGUUCGGAAUCACUGGGCUUAAAGGGCGCGUAGGCGGCUUGGCAAGUUGGGCGUGAAAGCCCUGGGCUUAACCCAGGAAUUGCGCUUGAGACUGCUAGGCUUGAGUGCGGGAGAGGUGAGUGGAAUUCCCAGUGUAGAGGUGAAAUUCGUAGAUAUUGGGAAGAACACCGGUGGCGAAGGCGGCCAUCUGGACCGUUUCUGACGCUGAGGCGCGAAAGCGUGGGGAGCAAACAGGAUUAGAUACCCUCGUAGUCC
rnacentral:rRNA from 1 species